rnacentral:rRNA from 1 species
CCUACGGGUGGCUGCAGUGGGGAAUAUUGGACAAUGGGCGAAAGCCUGAUCCAGCCAUGCCGCGUGUGUGAAGAAGGCCUUCGGGUUGUAAAGCACUUUCAGUGGGGAAGAAAGCCUUGGGGCUAAUACCCUCGAGGAAGGACAUCACCCACAGAAGAAGCACCGGCUAACUCCGUGCCAGCAGCCGCGGUAAUACGGAGGGUGCGAGCGUUAAUCGGAAUUACUGGGCGUAAAGCGCGCGUAGGCGGUCUGAUAAGCCGGUUGUGAAAGCCCCGGGCUCAACCUGGGAACGGCAUCCGGAACUGGCAGGCUAGAGUGCAGUAGAGGAAGGUAGAAUUCCCGGUGUAGCGGUGAAAUGCGUAGAGAUCGGGAGGAAUACCAGUGGCGAAGGCGGCCUUCUGGACUGACACUGACGCUGAGGUGCGAAAGCGUGGGUAGCAAACAGGAUUAGAUACCCGAGUAGUC